rnacentral:rRNA from 1 species
CGCAUCUGUGCAUGCAGCAUAUCAAUAAGCGGAGGAAAAGAAACUAACAAGGAUUCCCCUAGUGACGGCGAGUGAAGCGGGAAGAGCUCAAAUUUGAAAUCUUAAAGGGUUUCCCUUUACGAAUUGUAGUUUAAAGAAGUGUUUUCUGUUGAGGUUUUGGUAAAGGUUCUUUGGAAUAGGACAUCAUAGAGGGUGAGAAUCCCGUAUUUGACCUUUACUUUCAACUUUGUGAUACACUUUCAAAGAGUCGGAUUGUUUGGGAAUGCAGUCCAAAAUGGGUGGUAAAUUUCAUCUAAAGCUAAAUAUUGGCGAGAGACCGAUAGCGAACAAGUACCGUGAGGGAAAGAUGAAAAGAACUUUGAAAAGAGAGUUAAACAGUACGUGAAAUUGUCAAAAGGGAAGCGUUUGACACCAGUGUUGUUUUUCUGAAAAUCAAUUAAAGAACUGUUUAUGCUAAGCUGUUUAGACUUUAUCAGCUAUCUGUUUAGUUUUGAGCUUUUCUUUAAUGCACUUUUCAGUUAACAAGUCAACAUCAAUUUCUUUUGCUGUAAAAAAGCUUGAGGAAGGUGGCUUGAGAUUCGUCUUAAGUGUUUAUAGCCUCUUGCCUAUGCAGUCGGAGAGAUUGAGGUCUGCAGCGUAGAUCCUUCGGGGCUAAAUGCAUUUGUGCUAAGUUAUAGCAUUUUAUAGACAACUUGUUGACUAUGAUUUGUCUUGUAGCUUACUCGCUUAUGUUAUUUUACCUACGCUUAGGAUGUUGAGUCAUCACACAUCUCU